CCUACGGGAGGCAGCAGCAAGGAAUUUUCCGCAAUGGGCGAAAGCCUGACGGAGCAACGCCGCGUGUGGGAUGACGCUUUUCGGAGUGUAAACCACUUUUCUUGGGGACGCGGUACCCGAGGAAUAAGGACCGGCUAACUACGUGCCAGCAGCCGCGGUAAUACGUAGGGUCCGAGCGUUGUCCGGAGUUACUGGGCGUAAAGCGCGCGCAGGCGGCCCCGCAAGCAUGGCGUGAAAGCCCCCGGCUUAACCGGGGAGAGUCGUCGUGGACUGCGGGGCUUGAGGGCGGUAGGGGUUGGUGGAAUUCCCGGUGUAGUGGUGAAAUGCGUAGAGAUCGGGAGGAACACCCGUGGCGAAGGCGGCCAACUGGGCCGACCUGACGCUGAGGCGCGAAGGCGGGGGAGCGAACGGGAUUAAUACCCUUGUAGUC
rnacentral:rRNA from 1 species